GACAGAUGAGGCAGAAGGGGAAGUUAGGGAGGUUUGAAGAGUGAGAAGAACUUCUGCAGUGGCUGACUUGGAAGAUGAAGGAGGCUAUGAACCAGGGAAUGGGGGCAGCCUCUAGAGGCUGAGAACCUGCUGACGCCCAGCCACAACCACUAAGGAAAUGAAGACUUCAAUUCCACAACUGCAUGCAACUAAAUUCAGCCAACAACCUGAAUAAGUCUAAAAGAGGCUUCUCCAGAGCCUCCGGAUAAGAGGCCAGGCUGGCGACACCUUGAUUUUGACCUUGUGAGACCUAGAGCAGAGAAACCAGCCAAGACUACUCAGACUUCUGAUCUACAGAACUGUGAGACUGUAAAUUUAUGUUGUAUUAAGCCACUAAUUGUGUGGGAAUUUGUUACAGGAGCAAUAGAAAAUGAAUACACCUUCUGAUGUAGUUUAAUCAGUUGACAUUAGGGGUGACACCAAGAUGUGCUACACCGAACCCGACUUCUGCAUGUUUAAGACAAGAUGAAGGUCAAAAAUUUACAUCAGGGACCUGAAUGUGUAGCAUAUACAACUGAGUGUUGAAAGAAGACAAAAUUAUUUUCAUCAUGAAGAAUAUGUGCUCAGUAAGAAUCAGAAUGUUCAAUUGUGUGAAGGUGGGAGAUGGGAAGAUUGGUAUUAUGGCCUUGGAUCCAGAAAUCAGUCUUCCACUAUGGGAAAUGGGAAUUUAAAGAUGAUCAGAAGACAGUUGGGAGCAGAGUGAGAAUAAGAACCCUCAACUGCUGUCUCACCUUUCAGAUCACAAAG
rnacentral:lncRNA from 1 species